CAGCCACAACACAAUUCUCUUCCUCGGGAGAAGAUGAGGACACCGCUACUUUGGUGACCAUCUGAGUUUGGCAGUGAGGAAGAGCCACAAGAGGAGGCAGAGAUAUACGUUUGGCAGAGAUAUACGUCUGGCAGAGACAUACGUCUGGCAGAGACAUACGUCUUGGAUCCACUUUAUCGUCCUUCUCUUGUGCCUCACGAAAUCAAGAACUGUAGUGUUCCAAAAGAAGUUAAGAGAUCUUCCAGGGAGCUCGGUGUCGCAGCAAGCAGUAUGCCUCCUUGUCUGUGUGUAAACCUCUAAUAUUUGCAUUAUAUUCAUUAUUUUUUUCAGGUCUUGACUUCUUUUUUGCUGGCUUCCAAAAAACUCUAGAGUUCAUUGCCACCAUGGUUGAUACCUUAUAUGUCUUAAUGCUGCUCCGUAGUGAUUGAUUAUAAAUCUGGAACAAAAAAUGUGAGUGCAAAGGGCUCAAUGUUUCUCCAUCUCAGACUCAGGAUUCAGUUUAGACUGUUAUGUUUCUUCAUCUCCAGACUCAGGAUUCAGUUUAGACUGUCAUGUUUCUUCAUCUCAAGGUCUAAACAAAUGGUUUGCCAUAAACUGAAGACUAAAAAUAUGUUGCAUUGAUCACUCAAAACUCUACAAGAUGAGGUACGUAGUAACCGAAGUAAAUGAAAUAUUUGUGCUGGGUAUUGGGGUAAACAAUCUUUAUAAAAAAAAUUAAGUAGAAAUACUCUAAACAUGCUUGUCCAAAACAUCUUUUGUGCAGUCUCUGCCGGAAAACGGGUAUGAAGUGGAGAAACUCCAUUCCAAUACAAAGUUCAUCAAAGUUCAUCUUUCUUCUCAUUGUUUGCUUCUAAAGCAUCAGCAUCUUCUGUUUUAAGUUGAACCUCUUUGGUGGCUAUUUCGUAUUCUUCCUCAAAUUCACUUAGUGAAAUGUCGUCUUCACUGACUGAAACAUCGUCCUCUUCUUCGCUGGAUGCCUGUUUUAGUUUUAAAAAAAAAAGAGUCAGGUUCUCAAUAAUAACAGAUUAUUCCUUUGCAUGUCAAUGCAGCUAAACUAAAAAACAGUUAGUAUUAUGUCCUCAACACCUCGUCUUGUUGAAGUCACUAGGUAUAUAAUUAUAUUAUAAGUGUUCAUAUAAACAACGUGACAAAAGAAAAAAAAAUCAUCA